rfam:Myotis brandtii contig242102, whole genome shotgun sequence.
GGUGGUUCUCAGGUGAUGCACCCCAGAAUCGGGCUCCCUCCUCUCUGGUUCCGGGUGCAUCACCUGAGAACCGCA